rnacentral:lncRNA from 1 species
CGGACCUUCGCAAACCCCGGGGCUGGGCGGCCCUGGGUGACAGACACAAGCUUCUGAACCCAAGCUAACAAAGGCGGCCACUUCCUUCUCUUGGAGAAGAUGAAAGGAAGGAAGCAAGAGACAUGGAAGAGCCUUUUUAUGAUCUCCAAUGCCAAAACAGGGAACAGAAAAGGGAGGAAGGGUUCACCAGACCCUGGGGAGUUAUGAAGUGUUUCCCACAGCUCCUAAAGAAGGGGUGGACAGGGAAUCGACGUCUGCUGAACACGGCACCAGGCACCGUCCUAGUGAGGAUCAGGGCUUGGCCUGCUCUGAGUCAUCUCCCAGUAACAUCUAGUUCCCAGAAAAAUCAGAACAAGGAUACUGAAGCAGAACCAUUUCACAGAGAGCAAAGAUUUGAAGGUGGGAUGACAAAUCCAGUUCCAUCUUAACUGGAAGCACAAAUUGAGAGUAUGCAGCUCUUUAUACUCACAUGGGAAAAUAAGACGUAGAAAUCAAACACUUCUGCUGCACACCAAAGGGCAAUUGUCUCAAAGAAAAGCAUUUGUACCGUUGUUUCAGAAGUAUAGUGGGCCGCAGUGGCUCACAUCUGUAAUCCCAACAUUUUGGGAGGACAAAGCAGGUGGAUCACUUGAGGUUAGGAGUUCAAGACCAGCCUGGCCAACAGGAUAAAACCCCCAUCUCUACUAAAAAUACAAAAAUUAGCUGGGAAUGGUGGCAGGUGCCUGUAGUCACAGCUACUCCAGAGACUGAGGAAGGAGAAUCACUUGAACCUGGGAAACAGAGUUUGCAGUGAGCAGAGAUCACACCACUGCACUCCAGCCUGUGUGACAGAGAGAGACAGUCUCAAAAAAAGAAAAAGAGAGAGAGAGAGAAGCAUAGUGAACUUGCUACUUUUUUCAUGAAAUUCCAAUUUAAUUGAAAGAACAAUGACUGAUAAAUUAUGAUUAUUCAGACUUGGAUAUUUGGCAGACAUUUGAAGAUGAAUAAAGUGCGCCUAUCCCUUGAAGGAAAAUAACUGACACUGUUUGUUGCCAGUGAUAAAACUGGAUCUUUGCAGUAAAAAUUGGAAUUUUGGAUAACUUGUAUCUGCUACCAUAAGCUUGAUAGUUUCCUGAUAUGCAACAACUUUUAUGACAAAAUUGGUGAUUUUAACAAAUGUGAUUAUUUAUUAUAUAUAAUGAAAUGCUCAACAUUUGGAAUAUCUGCAUAACUCAGUGAAGCAAUAUUUUCCAAAUGUUCAAUUCAUCAUGUUACAAAGUCACAAAGAAAAGUUCCACUCAAAGUAUAAGAGACACCCAGUGGAUUUUAAUGUAAUGGAAUAAAAACAUGUAUUUAGAAGCAGAUUUUAAGUUGUACCUUUUAUGACACUAUCAUUUGUUAUGUUUUGAUUUAAUAAUGAAGGAGAUUAUCCACAGUUAUCUGAAGAGGCUAUUAAAAUACUCUUCCUUUUUCCUACUACAUGUCCGUGUGGGGUCAAAUUUUCUUCAUGUACUUCAGCCAAAAUAAUAUAUCACAACAGGUGGAAUGCAUAAGCAAAUAUGGGAAUCCAGUUGUCAUCUAAAAAGUCAGAAAUUAAAGAGAUUUUUUUAAAUGCCAAUCUUCUCACUAAACUCUUUUUACUUUGGAAAAUGUAUUUUUUCAUAAAACAUGUGUCUUUAGAUGCAAUGACUUUAUUCUUUUAAAAUAAAUCCAUAAUUAAGUAUUUGUAAAAUGCCUG